rnacentral:rRNA from 1 species
CGAUGAAGGACGUGAUAAGCUGCGAUAAGCUUCGGGGAGUUGCACGUAAACUUUGAUCCGAAGAUUUCCGAAUGAGGAAACUCACUUAGAGUAAUGUCUAAGUAUCAUUAAGUGAAUACAUAGCUUAAUGAGGGGAACUCAGGGAACUGAAACAUCUAAGUACCUGAAGGAAGAGAAAGAAAUUCGAUUCCGUAAGUAGCGGCGAGCGAACGCGGAUUAGCCCAAACCAAUAAAGUUUUCUUUAUUGGGGUUGCGGACAUAUCAUAACGAAGAGGUAUCGUAAUUGAAGAGGUUUGGAAAGACCCACCACAGAAGGUAAUAGUCCUGUAUGUUAAACGAGAAGACUUCAGAUAUGAUCCAGAGUACCACGGGACACGUGAAACCCUGUGGGAAGCAGGAGGGACCACCCUCCAAGGCUAAAUACUACCUAGUGACCGAUAGCGUAUAGUACCGUGAGGGAAAGGUGAAAAGAACCCCGGGAGGGGAGUGAAAUAGAACCUGAAACCCUGCACUUACAAGCUGUGGAAGCACAUUUCUUGUGUGACCGCGUACUUUUUGUAGAACGGGCCAACGAGUUACGUUAAGUAGCAAGGUUAAGCACUUAAGGUGCGGAGCCGUAGCGAAAGCGAGUUUUAACUGAGCGUUCAGUUACUUGACGUAGACCCGAAACCGGGCGACCUACCCAUGAGCAGGAUGAAGCGAAAGUAAAAUUUCGUGGAGGUCCGAACCCACGAGCGUUGAAAAGCUCGGGGAUGACUUGUGGGUAGCGGUGAAAUUCCAAUCGAGCCCGGAGAUAGCUGGUUCUCCCCGAAAUAGCUUUAGGGCUAGCCUCAAGGUGAGAGAUACGGAGGUAGAGCACUGAAUGUCCUAGGGGGUAUUGCACCUACCGAAGACUAUCAAACUCCGAAUGCCGUCAUCUUAUACUUGGGAGUCAGACUGUGGGUGAUAAGAUUCAUAGUCGAAAGGGCAACAGCCCAGAUCGUCAGCUAAGGUCCCUAAAUGUAAGUUAAGUGGUAAAGGAUGUGGGAUUGCACAGACAACCAGGAUGUUGGCUUAGAAGCAGCCACUCAUUCAAAGAGUGCGUAAUAGCUCACUGGUCGAGUGAUCCUGCGCCGAAGAUUUCCGGGGCUAAAACUUACUACCGAAGCUACGGCAUCAGUAAUGAUGGGUAGGGGAGCUUCCCAUACGGGUUGAAGCAUGACCGUAAGGACAUGUGGACAGUAUGGGAGUGAGAAUGUUGGCAUGAGUAGCGAGAUGUGGGUGAGAAUCCCACAGGCCGUAAACCCAAGGUUUCCAGGGGAAGGUUCGUCCGCCCUGGGUUAGUCGGGACCUAAGCUGAGGCCGAAAGGCGUAGGUGAUGGACAACAGGUUGAUAUUCCUGUACUACCGAUAACC